rnacentral:rRNA from 1 species
UACGGAGGGUGCGAGCGUUGUCCGGAAUCAUUGGGCGUAAAGGGCGCGUAGGUGGCCUGCUAAGCGUGCGGUGAAAGCUCGGGGCUCAACCCUGAGUCGGCCGUGCGAACUGGUGGGCUUGAGCACUGUAGAGGCAGGCGGAAUUCCGGGUGUAGCGGUGGAAUGCGCAGAUAUCAGGAGGAACACCGGUGGCGAAGGCGGGUCUCUGGGCAAUUACUGACGCUGAGGCGCGAAAGCGUGGGGAGCAAACAGG